rnacentral:rRNA from 1 species
GUGGGGAAUAUUGGACAAUGGGCGAAAGCCUGAUCCAGCCAUGCCGCGUGUGUGAAGAAGGUCUUCGGAUUGUAAAGCACUUUAAGUUGGGAGGAAGGGCAGUAAGUUAAUACCUUGCUGUUUUGACGUUACCGACAGAAUAAGCACCGGCUAACUUCGUGCCAGCAGCCGCGGUAAUACGAAGGGUGCAAGCGUUAAUCGGAAUUACUGGGCGUAAAGCGCGCGUAGGUGGUUCAGCAAGUUGGAGGUGAAAUCCCCGGGCUCAACCUGGGAACUGCCUCCAAAACUGCAUGACUAGAGUACGGUAGAGGGUAGUGGAAUUUCCUGUGUAGCGGUGAAAUGCGUAGAUAUAGGAAGGAACACCAGUGGCGAAGGCGACUACCUGGACUGAUACUGACACUGAGGUGCGAAAGCGUGGGGAGCAAACAGGAUUAGAUACCCGAGUAGUCC